rnacentral:tRNA from 1 species
GCAUCGGUGGUUUAGUGGUAAAAUUAGCCGUUGCCAUAGGAAGAUCAGGAAUUUACCCAACAUCCCUAAAUCUUCAGUAAUCGGCUAGCCCCGGGUUCGAUUCCCGGCCGAUGCA